AGGGGCCGUUCUCCAGCACUGGGGGUUUAAGAGAGAAUCGGAGGGUCCCGGCCACAGACCCGUUUGCCUCAGGAAGCCGAGCUCGUCUGGAUUCCCACCAUGGCCUGGGCCCCUCUGCUCCUCACGCUGCUCACUUACUGCUCAGGGGCCAGCUCGCAGCCCACGCUGACCCAGCCGCCUUCCGACUCAGUGUCCCUGGGAAACACCGUGAAACUCUCCUGCACUCUGAGCAGUCAGCACAGCGGCUAUACUGUUGGAUGGUACCAACAAAGGGAUGGCCAGGCCCCUCGGUUCCUUUGGUCCGGCUCCAGCACCAAAGGAGACGGGGUCCCAGAUCGAUUCACAGUUUCCAGCUCCGGAGCCAUUCGCUAUUUAACCAUCACCAACAUCCAGCCAGAGGAUGAGGCCACUUAUUACUGUGGUGCAGAUUAUAGCAUUGGUAGCAGCUAUGGGUAACUCACCAUGACACAAUCAGAUGGGGAACUGAGACAAAAACCUCCCCUCCCCCAGGCUGUGCACAACUGGGUCCCACACUCUAUGAAGAGCUUUGCCUUUUACUUUCAACAAAUCAGCUGAUUACUGGGCGCUGAGAAUUCCAGC